AUUAAAAUAAAAAGUUGAACUGC
rnacentral:piRNA from 1 species